UGCGUCUUAAUUAAUGGCGGACAAUACAAUAAAAUCUCAAUAUUAAAAUGAUACACUGUGUUUAGAAUAUAUCUAUAAAGGGUCCAUAAACACUUUCUGAAAAACAGUCGUCAAAAAAAUAUGAAUUGCGCGAACGCGCACUAUGCCAUUAAAAUAUACAUAAUCUUGAAUUGAAAACCCCGCGGCUUUUUACCGCAAGCAUUUUCAAAAUAACAUUGUCCUCUUUGAGUGUUAGUUCAGUUGGGACCGCUAACAAGAUAGAGCCCUGGGCAAACUAGGAAACAUUGUUACGGAAACAUUUGUGAUUCUCGAUGUUUCCUCAAAUGUUUCCAUGUUUUCCCACCCGUGGAAACGUUGUUGCGGAAACAAAAUUUGCUUCCCGGGAAGCAAAAAUGUUUCCUAGCAAAUUCAGAAACAUUUGAUGUUUCCCUAUGUUUCUCACUAAUGUUUCCUAGACCCUAGUGUUUGCCCACUCUUGGAAACAUGGCGAAACAUUGGUAGGAAACGGUGUUUCCGCAACAAUGUUUCCUAGUUUGCCCUGGGCUUACUUCACGCUACAUCGGAACGAAAUAAUGGAGGCAGAAUUUACGUGUGUUCACAUAACACCGUUACACUUAGCUUGUUUAC